ACCAUUCUCAUCCUCACCCACUCACCCCCCUCAAGUUGGACGGGCUAGGAGAGAUCCCCAACUUUCCUAGAACGUUGUGGUGAGAUGGCCCAGAUAGGGCUUUGGGGAAGGGAUCAGCGACCUGAGAAGAAGCCGGAACAUAAGACAGAGAAAUCAGGUGUGCGAGGAAUUGUUUUGUGUACAAAGUGGCUAUCGGAGUAAACCAGACUAGGGAGCUCUGGCGGAGAUCCCCAUAUCAGCAAGAAGACAAUUGAGCCAUGUCAUAUCAGCCACGACUCUUCUCAUGGAGUGAUACUCAGCUCCCGCAGAG
rnacentral:misc_RNA from 1 species